rnacentral:rRNA from 1 species
UACAGAGGGGGCAAGCGUUGUUCGGAAUUACUGGGCGUAAAGGGCGCGUAGGUGGCCCGCUAAGUCGAACGUGAAAUCCCCGAGCUCAACUCGGGAACUGCGUCCGAUACUGGCGGGCUUGAAUCCGGGAGAGGGAUGCGGAAUUCCAGGUGUAGCGGUGAAAUGCGUAGAUAUCUGGAGGAACACCGGUGGCGAAGGCGGCAUCCUGGACCGACACUGACGCUGAGGAGCGAAAGCCAGGGGAGCAAACGGG